UUGGGAACCCCCUAAAAACCAACAAACGAUUUCAAGCAUCCAUUCAGAAACGAUACAACCAUCCGGCGAUCCAAUUGUUCAGACUUUAGCUGGCGUCCGUGGUGAGAGAGCUUUAGUCGCCGGCGGCGGCAGCAAGAGAGCUUCGGUCGGUUCAAUUCUUGUUUACAAAGUUUCCAUUCUUGUUUAUUCAGAAACGAUAUCGCUUUCUCGAUUAUUCGAUACAAAGGUUCGAUUCGAUACACAUGAUUCCCAGUUCUAUUGAAACCUGUAAGAUUUUGCACUUAAACUCUAUUCCCGGUGCGUCCUGUUCGACAGGUUUCUUCAAGAAGAUUAGGUUGAAGAUUGAAUAUGGGUGAGCAGUUGAAACUGUUAGAAUCGUCUGAAACUGUUGAACCUAUAAAAGAAUAGAUGAUAUCCAAAAGCCAAAGCAUGAUCUACUAAUCAAGAAAUAUGCAAAAGAUUGAAUUAGUCUUUCCCCAAAGAUAGUAAAUCAUAAACACCUAUUCUGAACAUCUGUUCAAGA